AUACUUACCUGGCAGGGGAGAUACCAUCAUCACAAGGUGGUUUUCCCAGGGCGAGGCUUAUCCAUUGCACUCUGGAUGUGCUGACCCCUGCGAUUUCCCCAAAUGUGGGAAACUCGACUGCAUAAUUUGUGGUAGUGCGGGACUGCGUUCGCGCUUUCCCCUG
rnacentral:snRNA from 1 species